AUAAAAUUUUGUAACUAAAUAAUGAUGUCUUUGUAACAGCUUUCUCACAGUUUGUAGAUCUAAGUAACAUUUCUAUGACUAGCACGAAUAAGAUGACUGAUAUCGUGCAUCCGGCUGCAAUACCUAUUUCAAGCCGUUGCCACUCCUUUGU